rnacentral:misc_RNA from 1 species
GACUGAUAGUGUUUUUCCUUUGUGCAUUUACAAUGCCUUCAUCUCCAUACUACCCGUCAAAUAAUUGGCUCUACUAUCUGCUUAUAGGCUAAGUCGGCCUAAAAUAUACCUUUACAUGGUGUGAUACUAUCCACUUAGGGUCACAGUCACACAGUUUUCUCCAGAAGGCCUCACACCGUUAAGAGUAUCCCUAUACCUUAUAUGUAAAGUCCUUCUCCCUCCACCUACCGAUUUGAUUAUGUGUUGCACCAUAACAUAGACAAAAGUAGUUUGAUCUUACUAUUCAAGUAGUAAAAAAGUUCUACCAUAUGGCUAUAUUGUUUUUUCUGUUGCAUGUUUAUAGGAAGCUCGAAUUGAUCCCGAGGACUAUCCUAUUAUACUCA